rnacentral:rRNA from 1 species
AAAAGUCGUAACAAGGUUUCCGUAGGUGAACCUGCGGAAGGAUCAUUAUCGUACAACGGAGGUGCAAGGGCUGUCGCUGACCUUUAAGAGGUUGUGACGCCCAAGUGCUCUCUCACACAUCCAUCUCACCCCUUGUGCAUCACCGCGUGGGUUUCCCCCCUUACGGGGAGGGCUCACGUCUUUACAUAAAACUUGAUAUAGUAUAGAAUGUUUUCAUUUUGUUUGCGGUCACACGCAAUAAAUACAACUUUCAACAACGGAUCUCUUGGCUCUCGCAUCGAUGAAGAACGCAGCGAAAUGCGAUACGUAAUGUGAAUUGCAGAAUUCAGUGAAUCAUCGAAUCUUUGAACGCACCUUGCGCCCCUUGGCAUUCCGAGGGGCACACCCGUUUGAGUGUCGUGAAAUCAUCAAAAACCAUUUCUUUUAUGGAAAAGGAUUUUGGAUUUGGAGGUUUGAUGCUUGCUCUUGUCUUUAAAAGCAAGCUCCUCUCAAAUGAAUUAGUGGGGUCUGCUUUGCUGAUCCUUGACGUGAUAAGAUGUUUCUACGUUUUGGACUUGGCAUCGUGCCUGCUUCUAACUGUCUUAUGGACAAAUGAUGGUGCUCCGGUCACUGCCAUUCAUAUUGGUGGAAGGCUGGACCCACAAAGAGACCCUCGACCUAAAUCGGGUGAGACUACCCGCUGAACUUAAGCAUAUCAAUAAGCGG